CCAGACUCCUACGGGAGGCAGCAGUGGGGGAUAUUGCACAAUGGGGGGAACCCUGAUGCAGCGACGCCGCGUGAGCGAUGAAGUAUUUCGGUAUGUAAAGCUCUAUCAGCAGGGAAGAAGAUGACGGUACCUGACUAAGAAGCCCCGGCUAACUACGUGCCAGCAGCCGCGGUAAUACGUAGGGGGCAAGCGUUAUCCGGAUUUACUGGGUGUAAAGGGAGCGUAGACGGCGAUGCAAGCCAGAUGUGAAAGCCCGGGGCUCAACCCCGGGACUGCAUUUGGAACUGUGUGGCUGGAGUAUCGGAGAGGCAGGCGGAAUUCCUAGUGUAGCGGUGAAAUGCGUAGAUAUUAGGAGGAACACCAGUGGCGAAGGCGGCCUGCUGGACGAUGACUGACGUUGAGGCUCGAAAGCGUGGGGAGCAAACAGGAUUAGAUACCCCGGUAACC
rnacentral:rRNA from 1 species